UGCUAUAUUACCAAGAAAAUAAAUUACCCUUACAGAAAAUACUAAUUUCAAGUCAUAAAAAAAAUGUUUAUAUUCAGAACCUUUCCUGAAUAAAAACUAACAAUGAAAUACAGUUUAUACCUAAAUAAACUGUUUUGUUAAUUAUAAUUUCCCGACCUUUAGGAAAUUAUCCCUUAAUUGCCAAAUGUUUUCCUAUAUAAUGCUAUUUAUUUGAAAAAGACAAACGUUAACAGUAAACGUGAACUACAAUUUUAAAUUUAAAUGUACAAUAACAUUAAUCCUAACUUUAAAAGAUAACUUGAAAUAAAGCUUUGCCAGCAAUAAUACGAUAAUUAACCCAAAAGAUAUUUUAAAACAGUUUUAAGAACUUUCCUAAAUUUACUAAAAGAAUAAAAUACUUUAAGCAAAAGAUCAAAAAUGUAGGAGUCCGGCUCCUAAGAGUCCGCUAAAAAUGAAAUAUUCCUUUCUAAAUUAGAAAACGCUAAAUUUACUAUUUUCCUUUACAAUUUAACCCCAAAAAAAAUGAAGUUUGUGAGAAAAAUUAACCAUUUUGACAAAAAUUACUGAUGAGCAAAAUAAAAUACUAACUGUAACGACCAAAGAUUUAAGCAGAACUGACGAACAAGCGUCGAAAUUACGUCAAUGUUGGAUUGUUGGCAAAGUUGGAAAAUUGUUGGAUCGCGCGCUUGCUGUCCAACGAAAUAUUUGAAUUCUCAAAUAAAUUACAAAAAUCAUGAUAAUAUACAAUUUUAGUAACAGUCAUAUAAUAAACAAAUUUUGCAUGGUACUAAACAAAUUUCUAUAGUAGCUAAAAAUACACCAAUAAAACUUCACCGGAAGUCACAAUACGUAAACAACAUUGCCAAAAGUUAUGUGUGUCACCGGCUAACCAAAAUGACAAAUAUCAAGGAUAGUGAGCAUUAACAUCUGCAAAACAUUGAAGACGUUGACUACAAAUACUAAAAGGAAUUACAAAGAGUAUUUGAAAACAGUUGCCGAAACGUAAAAAUAGUGUUUUUAUUGAAAAAUCGUCCCAAGUGACACAUGGGUUCCACUGCGCAUGUCAGUACAUUUCAUUCAUAAAAUUCAAGCAAGGUGCGUGGAUUUACUACGAGAUUUACUACGAUCUACUACAGUUGCUACAAUUGGAUCAUCACAAAAAUACAAGACAUUCAGUGGAUUAUUACUAUGAACUGAUACACCAGAAGGUUCACCAUUAUGACCAUCAGCACGAGGGCAGUAGAUACCAGACAGACAUAUAUAUAUAUAUAUACCAAAUGUGGAAAAUUACUGAACAUUACGAACAAUGUGGAACAUGGCUAAGAACCAGAGGUUUUCUGAAGGAGAAUUUAGUUACCAUGCAAACAGUACCAAAAUAUUUAAAUAUAAGUUUAAAAAUACACCCAAAAAUAACUUUUAAUUCUCGAAAGCUUUGACUAUAUCUAAUAUAAAUAACUUAUAAACUUUUCAUGAAUUUCAAAGAUAAAUUUUCAGUCUAAGUAACUUCAAAUAACUUUUUAUCUUAACCUUAAAUUACUUUUGAUGUUAACAACUCUAAUAAACAAUACCUUAAAUUUCCAUUAAAAAUAUAAAAUUACAUCUUUAUUCAAUAUAUAAUUAAUUGUCAUUAACUACUAGGGACUUCUUCUGUUUCUUUUGUGUUCCUGUAGCUGUGGUAGGAGGUGGUUCUGGUACAAGUUCUUUUUCUUUACUAGUCAAAUGUCUAAUUAUUUCUUCUUUGGAUACCCCCUUUCCAGACACUAAAUGUGAGUCAUGAAAUUUCAGUCUUCUCAUUGCAUUUUGGUUAUUCAAUUCAAGUGUGUCUUCACUUUCUAUUAACAUCUUUGGUUCAUGUUCAACAACUUCUGCUGAACCAAUUACUGUAUCUUGAUACAAAGUGUUUUUGUAAUCAUAUGUGUCCAUUAUGCUAGUUUUACACGUAACAUCUUGGCUUAUGUUAACUAAACAUGGUGCCAUUACUAAUGAAAAUCUUUCUAAAAAAUUCUCAGAGGGUUCUAAAAUACAAUCUUGAACUGUUUCAGGAGAAUCAUCAUCAAGUCGGUCAACAAAAACAUCAACACAAAUUUCUGACCUUGGGGGAAUUUCAUAGUUAGCUUCUCCAUAAAUUUUUCGAAUAAAUUUAUUUGUUUGGCCAAUUUGGGUACAAUGGAUAGCAUGACCACCAAGCAGUAUAAUUCCAUCUGUUAACUUUAUGUCAGCAGGACCCCACUGAGAUUUCAUUAAAACAUCCAGUCCUAACAAAGCUUCAUCUUCUAUAUUUGCUACUAUCAUUUCUGUACUAAAACAUAAAUUUCCUAAUUGAAUUUCAAAAAUAGCUUUCCCUAGCUCCUUUAAGGGUUUGCCAUCAGCACAAGCUAAAGUAUUAGACUUUUCCAAGAUUGGUCUAUUAACAUGAGGAAUUUUAUUAAAGGCAUACACGGAUAACACUGUCCGAACUGCCCCUGUAUCUACAGUAAAAUUAACCUCAGACCCUUGGAUAUGUCCUUCAACAUAAACUCCAUCACUUCGGAGUACUUGUCUUGCAAUUACAUUACUUGCAAUUGAUGGUUCACUACCUAAAAUUGGUGUAGAACAAACUAAAUUUUUAUCUUCUAAAGUGACAGAAGAUGUAUUACUAUUACAGGUAUCUCCCUGUUUUACUAUAUUUUCACUAUUACUCACAUUUUCCUUAUUACUUUUACUAUUACUAAUAUUUCCUUCAUUACUAUUAGUAAUAUUUCCGCUAUUACUAAUAUUUUCUUCUUUACUAUUACUAUUACUAAUAUUUCCACUAUUACUAAUAUUUUCCUCUUUACUAUUACUAUUAUUUCCACUAAUAAUAAUAUUUUCCUCAUUACUAUUACUAAUAUUUUCCUUAUUACUUUUGCUAAUAUUCUCCUCAAUACUAUUACUAUUACUAAUAUUUUCCUCACUUUUACUAUUACAUAAAGUUAUACUGCUUAUUGGUUCAUGUACACCAAUAUUGUCCAAUUUAUGACCAUUUUCAUUAAACUUAAGGGCUAACUUCUGGUCAGCUGAGUUAACCCGUUCUAGUUUAAUGUAUAUCCAUCUGAUUUAAAUUCACCUUGUGACGGACUAGUAUUACUGUUGGGGGGAGUGUAAGGCAUAUUCAUCUGUCUUGGAGGAGUAGCCUUAUUAUUUCUAUAAUCUGGUUGCCUAUUGGGAUUACUAUAGCAUUUUCUGGCAUAAUGACCUGGUUGACCACAAUAAUAACAUUUUGGGAUAGUUUCUGGGUUAGCAUUUCUGUCUGAAUUAUUCUUUCUAAAAUUCCCAUUUGGAACAUAGGAUGGUGCAUUGACAUUGAAGGGCUGUCUGUCAAACUGUCUUUCAUCAUGAUAAUUGUGUCCUGUUACUGAUGUAUGUGUAUCAUCAUUUCUUUUCUUGUCCUGGUACAUUUGGUCAAACAUUUUCUGUAAUUCAUCUUUGGUUAUCGAAAUUACAUCUUUUUGUGUAUUUGUAGAACCUUGUUUGUUGAAAUUGGUGUUCUGUUUCUUUAGUUGCCUUACUUUGGUAUUUUUUUCUGAAUUACCCUCCUGUGUUUCUGAAGUUGUCUCCUUAUAGAUAAUAACCUCCUGUACUGCUUCCUCAAUAGUUUUGGGGUCUUUUGUCAGUUCAAUAUGAAUUCUUGCUUCAUUAUCUGACAAUCCCAUUAAGAAUCUUUGAAGCAGGUCUUCCUGCCUAAUUUUAGCAUGUCUGUUUGAAUAAGCCUUGUCAUAUAUGCGUUUUAAUUCCGCAGCAUAGUCUGCAGUGUCUUCAUUUGAUUUUUGAAUACGUCUGUUAAAUUGUACUUUAUAUGUUCUUUUAUUUUCAAAGACUCCAAAUCUAUUUUUAAGUUCUGUUGCUAAUUUUGAGUAAUUCUUUAAUGUUUUACUAUUUAAUUGGUCAAACACAAAAUCACCAGCUUCCCCUUGAAGUCUGGUUAACAAUUCACUCAAUUUAGUUUUAUUAUCCCAAUUUUGUAGAUUUGCUACUGCUUCAAACCUAUUAAUCCAGACUUCCCAUUUUUCUUUUCCUUUGAAGGAUGGGAGUUUAGCAUUGGAAAACCCAAUUUUCGAUUUUGAUCGUUUACUUUGGGUUAUAACAUCUGUGUCAAUACUAUUAGUAUCCAUAUCAGAGCAUGCAUCACUAAAUAUUUCAUCAUCAGUUUCAUCAUACUCAGAUGCUGAUGUAAAAUCUAAAUUACUAUUAGAUGUAAAACUUGGUUUACUUUUUCUAACUUUAGAAAUUGAAUUACUAUUAUUAGCAAUUGUUAUACUUUUAGCAUGUUUUUGUUGCUCACUUGAAGCAUUAGUAUGCCUAUAUUGUUUUGUAAUGCCAGUAAAAGCAUUUUGAAUGGCUGAUACUACUUGACCAGUCAUAUCUUGUAUAGCUACUUUAAUAAUAUCAUAUAUCCCAGAAUCACCUUGGUUUUGAGGUUCUGACUUAUUUUCUAGAUCAUUUUGCUUUCUAUAUCUGGAGGACCUUCUUGGAGAGCCAGGUUUUCUAGGACUUGGUCUCUUACUUAAUUUGGAUCUGGGUCUUAAAAUUAUUGUUUCUUCUUCUUCCUCAGUCUCUAUGUCAGACAAGUCAUGAGAAGCUUCAUAAACUUGAUCACUUCCAGAAUGACAUGUUUCGUCAUCAGUGGUGUGGAGAGUAUGGAUUUCACUGUCCUGUGUUUCUGAUUCUAAUUGGCUACUAUGUCCUCUAUUAUAUGUGUCAGUCUUUCUUGAUCGAACAGACCUUGGUUUACCCAUUUCACUGAUAAUCUAUUACACUUCAAAAGGUUCGUAUCACAGGAUCCAAUAAAGUUUAAUGAAUCCCACCGUGGAUGCCAAAAUUAUGUAGCGGACAGGGGCUUGAAAUGCUUGACCCAAAAGUUUUACUCAAAAUUAUGAGUAGUUUGUAAAUUGCUAAGUCAGUAUGACAAGAUAUGAUCUGGUCAGUAUAAUAUAGGCAUUUGUUAAAAGUAACAUAAAUAAGUUUCUAUAUUUUAUUCAUUUCAAGACUCAGAUAUUUUCAUUGAUAUUCAAGAUAAACAACAACAAUUUUAAGUAGUAAGAUACUUAAAUUAUAGACUUUUAGAUUAUAUAUGACAAGAAUCUAUUCAGUAUACAUGUAAUAUUUUAUCUCUACACUCAAGAGAUGAUUAAUAUAAUUUUUAUGAUUGCCGGAUAACUUUGUCCUUUGUCCGUGCAAUUCUAAUAAAAAAUAACACUUGCUAUUACCAAUAUAAUUGUAUGUUGGUAUGUUAGAAAAAUACCUAAAAGGCUGAGUCCUGCUAUAUUACCAAGAAAAUAAAUUACCCUUACAGAAAAUACUAAUUUCAAGUCAUAAAAAAAAUGUUUAUAUUCAGAACCUUUCCUGAAUAAAAACUAACAAUGAAAUACAGUUUAUACCUAAAUAAACUGUUUUGUUAAUUAUAAUUUCCCGACCUUUAGGAAAUUAUCCCUUAAUUGCCAAAUGUUUUCCUAUAUAAUGCUAUUUAUUUGAAAAAGACAAACGUUAACAGUAAACGUGAACUACAAUUUUAAAUUUAAAUGUACAAUAACAUUAAUCCUAACUUUAAAAGAUAACUUGAAAUAAAGCUUUGCCAGCAAUAAUACGAUAAUUAACCCAAAAGAUAUUUUAAAACAGUUUUAAGAACUUUCCUAAAUUUACUAAAAGAAUAAAAUACUUUAAGCAAAAGAUCAAAAAUGUAGGAGUCCGGCUCCUAAGAGUCCGCUAAAAAUGAAAUAUUCCUUUCUAAAUUAGAAAACGCUAAAUUUACUAUUUUCCUUUACAAUUUAACCCCAAAAAAAAUGAAGUUUGUGAGAAAAAUUAACCAUUUUGACAAAAAUUACUGAUGAGCAAAAUAAAAUACUAACUGUAACGACCAAAGAUUUAAGCAGAACUGACGAACAAGCGUCGAAAUUACGUCAAUGUUGGAUUGUUGGCAAAGUUGGAAAAUUGUUGGAUCGCGCGCUUGCUGUCCAACGAAAUAUUUGAAUUCUCAAAUAAAUUACAAAAAUCAUGAUAAUAUACAAUUUUAGUAACAGUCAUAUAAUAAACAAAUUUUGCAUGGUACUAAACAAAUUUCUAUAGUAGCUAAAAAUACACCAAUAAAACUUCACCGGAAGUCACAAUACGUAAACAACAUUGCCAAAAGUUAUGUGUGUCACCGGCUAACCAAAAUGACAAAUAUCAAGGAUAGUGAGCAUUAACAUCUGCAAAACAUUGAAGACGUUGACUACAAAUACUAAAAGGAAUUACAAAGAGUAUUUGAAAACAGUUGCCGAAACGUAAAAAUAGUGUUUUUAUUGAAAAAUCGU